GCUAGGGAGGUUGUAGUGGUUUGAACAUUGGACUAUGGCUCUGGAGAGCAGGGUUCGAAUCCCUGCUUGGCA